CGGAGACUAGUUCACCGGAAGAACGCUCGGUUUGGGACCGAGAGGUACGGGGUUCAAUUCCCCGGUCUCCGACAA
rnacentral:tRNA from 7 species